rnacentral:piRNA from 1 species
UUACUGUUCAAGUAACUGGAACUGCGAGUC